rnacentral:lncRNA from 1 species
AGACUGUUUUAAAACAAAAUGCAAAAAAAGGACUGGGGAUAUGGCUCGUGGCUAAGUGCUCCUGACUUCAAUCCCUGGUACAAAAAAAAAAAAAAAACCUUGACUCCUCUGUUCAGGUCAAAGCUCAUUUCUUGAUAGGAAUAUUUCUUUAAUUUCUUUGAGGAUGUAUUGCCUCUAAUUCCAAGUGCUGCCUCUUCAGCACCACUCAGAGUUGCUUUAAUCUGUCCAGGAAUGGUCUCAGAGUUGAGUCUGAUUCCCCCAUCCCUGGUCCUCAGCCAGGGUCUGAGUGGACAUCUUGUGUCAGGGGUCUGCCCUUCCCAUGGUUUACCCUGCAGUCAAAUUCAUCACCCUUAUUCCUCUUUCCCUCCAGCUGCUCCCUACAGAUCCAGCAGACAACUAGAUACAAUCCAGUAAUGGCUGCCUUCAAAUGGGAGAGACCCAGAGAAGGGAAAGGGAUGCUGGAUAAGAGGACCUUGGACAGAUGCAGUAACACCAGCCAGGAAUCCCAGCUACUCAGGUGGCUGAAAAGGAGGAUCACAAAUUAAAAGCCAGCCCGGGAAACUUAAUGAGAACCUGUCUCAAAAUAAAAACUAAAAAGGGCUGGGGACUUCACUCAAUGGUAGAACAUCCCUGGAUUCAAUCUCUAGUACCAACCAAAAAAAAAAAAAAGAGAGAGAGAGAAGCCUUGAAGAGGGUCUUCUUUGGUUGCUCUGAAGUAAGAAAGUCAGGGCUGGGGAAAGAGAUACAUUAGAAAAGUUUUAAGCAAUUGGUUCUAUGAGAGUUUGAGGUUAUUAUUUUCUAAACUUUACAAAGUGAGAAAUAUAUCAUAAUUUUGGGGGACUGUGGAAAUCAAACCCUCAGCUGGAAUCAUAACUUAAGGCUUUUUGCUCGGUCUGGUAGUCAGAUUGAUAAACCACAUAUUUUUUCUUACCCCUUUAUCAUUUAUCACACAAUUGAUCCCCCCCCAAAAAAAAGAUAUAUUAAAACCCUACUUUCAAACUUUAAAACAAACCCUUGGAAUGUUCUUCAUAUUUGUUAUUAAAAUAGCGUCUUCCAAUUUUUUAUGUGUUUUUUCUUUUUCUCUUCUUCUUUGGGGUGUGUAUGUGUGUGUGCACCAGUCCGAAUCUUUCUAUGUUUGCCCAGGCUAGCCUGGAACUCCUGAACUCAAGCCACCCUCCUGUCAGUCUCUGGAGUAGCUGGAACUAUGGGUGCACAUCACCAUCCCUUGUUUGUUUUUUUGUUUAUAUUUUUCUUUCUCUUCCCUCAUCUCCCCAUCCCCACCCCCAAUACUAGGGAUUGAACUCAGUGGUGCUUUACCACUGAGCUACAUCCCCAGCGUUUUUUAUUUUUUAAAACUUUGAGAUAGGAUUUCACUAAUCUGCCCAGGCUGGUCUCCAGUUUAUGAUUCUCCUGCCUCAGUCUCCCCCAGUAGCUGGGAUUACUUGCAUGCACCAUCAUGCCCAGCUUUUUAUUUUUGCAGAUGAUUAUUGUAGCACUUUUUGUGUACCAAGCACUGUCCUAAGAGCUUUACAAAAAUUAACUUUUUUUACCCUUAAAAUAAUCCAAUGAAAUAGAUCCUGUUAUUAACCUCAUGUAUAGAAGAGGAAAUGAAAGCAGAGAGUUAAGUAACUUCCUCAAGUUCACAGAACUAAGAAAUGAUGAACCAGAAUUAAAACCCAGGAAGUCUGAAUGGGUCACAGUCAUAUACUGAACCUGUGCUGCCUCUCUACAGGGCCUGAAAAAACACACCUUUGAACAUAUACAUGUAUAUAUUUUUAUGUACAUUAAAUAUAUAAAGUAAAAUAUAUUUACAUAUACAUAAACUUAGACAUAAGUAUAUAUUUUUAUUUAUUUUUUUAUUUUGUAUGCUGUUGGGGAUGGACCUUGGGCUUAGGGUUCUAUCACUGAGCUACACCCCAGCUCAUUAAUAUUUCUGUUUAAGUAUAAAUAGAGACAGGGAGGGAAAGAUCUAGUUGCCUUUCUUCCAAUGGCCACCUUUCCACAUUUUUUUGUACAUGCUGAAAGCUCAGUUUUGAGGGAAGCAUAAUUUCUCUGUCCAUAGGUCCCCCGUGAAGUCUAAAUGACUACUUUCAUAAACCUCAGUCUCCUCAUCUGAGAUAAUGAGGAAGUUGGAUUAGAUGAGCUAGGGCGCCCUCUGAACAUAAGGGGCCUGCAAUAAAAAUUAUUAAAAUUUCCCAAAAAACAAACCAGGCAGCAUUUUUCUUUUUCAGGUUUGACGUUGCAAGUGGCCAUGGCUUAGUGUUUUAAACUAAUUUUAGUUUAAAAACUAAUUCUGGACAGUUCUUGUGCCUUCCUGGACUAACAAUAACUGGGGUUUGCCCUGUGCAACUGACGGUAUCCUAAUGCGUUUGUGCAGGUUUAAAUUUAAAUUUCCGGCCAGUUUCGGUUGGUGGGGUUUGAGGAAACGCUCAAGCCCAGAGCGAGCGGCGAAGGAAACGGCAUCGCAGCCACUGGUGCAAGCGCGCCCUCUGCCGGCAGCUCGUGUGCUCCGGCCUCUUGGGGGAACCUCUUCAGCUCCAGGGGCAGCGCAAAACUUGUGCCCUUCCCUUCCUCCUGCUAUAUUACAUACAACUGAGCAACGUUUGUUUAGUGCUUUUAUGAGCUAGGCACAGAGUAUUUGGGGCUGGAGACAACAAAGAUAAAUAAAAACGUCCCAGCCUUAAAGGAUCUCACAGUCCAAAAUCAGAUCAUUGUAAUGUCACUUGAGAACUCAAUCACCUGUGCUACACCCUAAGUCCCCAUUAGUUUGCAACCCCAAGUUGUACGCAAGAGCCCAAAUCAAACAGCACGGUACGAUGCGCUUUUGUUAGGAAAGGAGAACUAGUAGCACACUAGCAUUUUCUCCGGGCACAGAAACAGAUGACCUGCUCAGGAGCCUUAGGGGAAACAAAUAUGGAUAGUCAUGGUGCAGAAGGUUGCACCAUCAAGAACAUUUUAAAUUUGUGAUUCAAAUUUAAGAAACACCUGUCUUUGAGAAAUGCAUGCAAUACAUAAGUGCAAAAGGUUUUAAAAAAAAAUCAAAACCCACAUACAUCACAUAGCUACUGAGAAAUGGAGAGGUCAGGGUGAAGGUGGUGGAGGAGGCUGAGAGCACCUAACACAAGCAACCUGCAUGCUGCUCUGCCCAAGACCAGCCUGAACACUUGUGACUGAAACCAAGGACUGCAGCCAGAGGCUUAAAGGAAAUCCUAGCCAGGCUUCGUCCCCCUGAAAAUCACUACCUAUUUCUCAACAAAUGUAAGACCUAUUGAAAAAUAAAAAACAAAGCUCUUCACCAAAACUACAGAAAAAAAAGCCACACUUCCCUAUUUCAUUUAAUUGGUCAAAACAAAAACAAAAUCUAUAUUUUUACACAUGCGCAAAAUGUUAACAAUGUACCUGUAGCAGUUUUGUGAAGUAGUUUAGCAAAAGGGUUUGUGUGAAAUAAAUAUACUGAUGUCACAAUAAAAGCUGACCUGAUUCAC